CGGGUAUGAACGAUUUAUCGUUCUAAGUGAGUGACGUCACACUGCCAAGAAAAGCUUCUAGUUAGAAUCAGACCGCCCGUACCGCAAACCGACACAGGUAGUCGGGUCGAGAAGACCAAGGUGAGCGAGAGAACUCUCGUUAAGGAACUCGGCAAAAUGACCCCGUAACUUCGGGAGAAGGGGUGCUGAUCGCAAGAUCAGCCGCAGUGAAUAGGCCCAGGCGACUGUUUAUCAAAAACACAGGUUUCUGCAAAAUCGUAAGAUGAAGUAUAGGGGCUGACGCCUGCCCGGUGCUGGAAGGUUAAGAGGAUGGGUUAGCGUAAGCGAAGCUCAGAAUUGAAGCCCCGGUAAACGGCGGCCGUAACAAUAACGGUCCUAAGGUAGCGAAAUUCCUUGUCGGGUAAGUUCCGACCCGCACGAAAGGCGUAACGAUCUGGGCACUGUCUCAACGAGAGACUCGGUGAAAUUAUAAUACCCGUGAAGAUGCGGGUUACCCGCGACAGGACGGAAAGACCCCAUGGAGCUUUACUGUAGCUUGAUAUUGGGUGUUUGUACAACUUGUACAGGAUAGGUAGGAGCCGUAGAAGUCGGGACGCUAGUUUCGACGGAGGCAUCGGUGGGAUACUACCCUCGUUGUAUGAACACUCUAACCCACGCCGGCAAUCACGGCGGGAGACAGUGUCAGGUGGGCAGUUUGACUGGGGCGGUCGCCUCCUAAAAGGUAACGGAGGCGCCCAAAGGUUCCCUCAGAAUGGUUGGAAAUCAUUCGCAGAGUGUAAAGGCAUAAGGGAGCUUGACUGCGAGACCUACAAGUCGAGCAGGGACGAAAGUCGGGCUUAGUGAUCCGGUGGUUCCGCAUGGAAGGGCCAUCGCUCAACGGAUAAAAGCUACCCUGGGGAUAACAGGCUUAUCUCCCCCAAGAGUCCACAUCGACGGGGAGGUUUGGCACCUCGAUGUCGGCUCAUCGCAUCCUGGGGCUGUAGUCGGUCCCAAGGGUUGGGCUGUUCGCCCAUUAAAGCGGUACGCGAGCUGGGUUCAGAACGUCGUGAGACAGUUCGGUCCCUAUCCGUCGCGGGCGCAGGAAAUUUGAGAGGAUCUGUCCUUAGUACGAGAGGACCGGGAUGGACAUACCGCUGGUGUACCAGUUGUUCUGCCAAGGGCAUCGCUGGGUAGCUAUGUAUGGAUGAGAUAAACGCUGAAAGCACCUAAGUGCGAAACUCACCUCGAGAUAAGAUUUCCCACUCC
rnacentral:rRNA from 1 species